GAUCAAGUGUCAAAAGGGCAUUUGGUGGAUGCCUUGGCAUGCACAGGCGAUGAAGGACGUGAUACGCUGCGAUAAGCCGUGGGGAGCUGCGAAUGAGCUUUGAUCCAUGGAUCUCCGAAUGGGGCAACCCACCUUAGAUGCUUGGAAAAUCAUUUUGGUUGGUGUUUGGCUGAACGAAGCGAAGCUUCGCAAGGCCAGAGGCCGUCGCGCACGUUUGCGCGCCCCAGCGGAGCGUCAGCUCCGAAGGAGCGUCAGGCGCGUGAGCGAGAACCAAAGUGGUUUCCAAGCAUUGUUGAAAGGUAUCUUAUCCUGAAUUCAAUAGGGAUAAGAAGCGAACGCAGGGAACUGAAACAUCUAAGUACCUGCAGGAA
rnacentral:rRNA from 1 species